rnacentral:rRNA from 1 species
UGAGUACGAGCUGCUACGGCAGCGAAGUGGGUGAUGUCAUGCUUCCAAGAAAAGCCCUAUACCCGUUAAGGCAUGAUGGCCUGUACCCGAAACCGACACAGGUGGGGUGGUAGAGAAUACCGAGGGGCGCGAGGUAACUCUCUCUAAGGAACUCGGCAAAAUGGCCCCGUAACUUCGGGAGAAGGGGUGCCACCGCAAGGUGGUCGCAGUGAAGAGGCCCAGGCGACUGUUUACCAAAAACACAGGUCUCCGCUAAGUCGCAAGACGAUGUAUGGGGGCUGACGCCUGCCCAGUGCCGGAAGGUUAAGGAAGCUGGUCAGCGUAAGCGAAGCUAGCGACUGAAGCCCCGGUGAACGGCGGCCGUAACUAUAACGGUCCUAAGGUAGCGAAAUUCCUUGUCGGGUAAGUUCCGACCCGCACGAAAGGCGUAACGAUCUGGGCGCUGUCUCGGAGAGAGGCUCGGCGAAAUAGAAUUGUCUGUGAAGAUGCGGACUACGUGCACCCGGACAGAAAGACCCUAUGAAGCUUUACUGUAGCUUGGUAUUGUGCUCGGGCUCGGAAUGCGCAGGAUAGGUGGGAGGCUAUGAACCAUUGCUUGUGGGUGAUGGUGAGCCACUGGUGAGAUACCACUCUUUCCGAGCUAGAGUUCUAACAGCCACCCGUUAUCCGGGGGCUGGACAGUAUCAGGUGGGCAGUUUGACUGGGGCGGUCGCCUCCUAAAAGGUAACGGAGGCGCGCAAAGGUUUGCUCAGGCUGGUUGGAAAUCAGCCGACGAGUGUAAAAGCAGAAGCAAGCUUGACUGUGAGACCUACAAGUCGAACAGGGAGGAAACUCGGCUUUAGUGAUCCGACGGUUCUGCGUGGAAGGGCCGUCGCUCAACGGAUAAAAGUUACUCUAAGGAUAACAGGCUGAUCUCCCCCAAGAGUUCACAUCGACAGGGAGGUUUGGCACCUCGAUGUCGGCUCAUCGCAACCUGGGGCUGAAGUCGGUCCCAAGGGUUGGGCUGUUCGCCCAUUAAAGCGGUACGCGAGCUGGGUUCAGUACGUCGUGAGACAGUUCGGUCCAUAUCCGGUGCAUGCGCAGGAAUAUUGAGAGGAUUUCUCCCUAGUACGAGAGGACCGGGAGGAACGCACCUCUGGUGUACCAGUUAUCGUGCCAACGGUAAACGCUGGGUAGCCAUGUGCGGAGAGGAUAACCGCUGAAAGCAUCUAAGUGGGAAGCCCACCUCAAGAUGAGUAUUCCCAUGGGGUAACCCAGUAAGGUCACGGGAAGAACACCCGUUGAUAGGCUCUACGUGGAAGCGCAGUAAUGUGUGAAGCGGAGGAGUACUAAUAGACCGAGGGCUUGAC